UACAGAGGUCUCGAGCGUUGAUCGGAAUUAUUGGGCUUAAAGGGUGCGUAGGAGGGCAGGUAAGUCAGUGGUGAAAUCUCCAAGCUUAACUUGGAAACUGCCGUUGAUACUAUCUGUCUUGAAUAUUGUGGAGGUGAGCGGAAUAUGUCAUGUAGCGGUGAAAUGCUUAGAUAUGACAUAGAACACCAAUUGCGAAGGCAGCUCACUACUCAAUCAUUGACUCUGAGGCACGAAAGCGUGGGGAUCAAACAGG
rnacentral:rRNA from 1 species